rnacentral:lncRNA from 1 species
CUGAAUGGUAAGGUCUCUCUCUCGACCUUGUACUCGCCUGUGAAGAGUUGUUAUUAAUAACCCCAGUCAGGAUUUUUAUUUCUAAUUUCCUUUGGCUAUAGAAUUUAAAUGCUAAUUUCACUUUAUCUGUGAUAUUGAAUUUGCUAAAAGUCCAGAAAAACAAUUAUACUUUUUCACCUCCUUGGAAACACUAUUGGAACAAAUUCAUAGGACUUGCAAACAUUGAAACACACAAGCAUUUCAAGACCGUGGUAGUCCAACGUGCUACUAACAGAUUUAUGAAAAAAAAUUGAAUGAUAUCUUUACAGCCGCCAAGAAUUUAGCUCAUCCAUUUGAGAUUUUUUAAAAUAUGGUUUCAGUGACAAAGAAAUCUUUGAAACACAAAGUAUACUUUCUAAAUUCACUGCAAGCAUUUGAAAUAAACAAAUGAUUUGGUUUAUUUGAUUUGGCACCAUGAAAAUUACCAUGAAAUGAAUGGUAACUCGAGCUACAAAAGAUUGGGACUGCGUGUUUCAGGAUUUAGAUUUUCAGGAUCAAUGUGACAGUAAAAGUCCCCCAUGGCCCACAUGAGUAGCAACACGGAAGGAAUUUUGCUGUCUCUGAGUAGCAGAUUUUCUGCUCUUCAAAUCUUUGUCUAGUCCUGCCAAACAGCUCUAGGAGGCAUGUUGGGACUUCAUUCUUCAUUACUGUAGUUUU